rnacentral:rRNA from 1 species
AUUGAACGCUGGCGGAAUGCUUUACACAUGCAAGUCGAACGGCAGCACGGGAGCUUGCUCCUGGUGGCGAGUGGCGAACGGGUGAGUAAUAUAUCGGAACGUAUCCAAUAAUGGGGGAUAACCAAUCGAAAGGUUGGCUAAUACCGCAUACGCCCUACGGGGGAAAGCAGGGGAUCUUCGGACCUUGCGUUGAUGGAGCGGCCGAUAUCGGAUUAGCUAGUUGGUGGGGUAAAGGCCUACCAAGGCGACGAUCCGUAGCUGGUCUGAGAGGACGACCAGCCACACUGGGACUGAGACACGGUCCAGACUCCUACGGGAGGCAGCAGUGGGGAAUUUUGGACAAUGGGGGCAACCCUGAUCCAGCCAUUCGCGUGAGUGAAGAAGGCCUUCGGGUUGUAAAGCUCUUUCGCAAGGGAAGAAACGAUACUGGUGAAUAUCCAGUGUUAAUGACGGUACCUUGAUAAGAAGCACCGGCUAACUACGUGCCAGCAGCCGCUGUAACAC